GAUGAACGCUGGCGGCGUGCCUAAUACAUGCAAGUCGAGCGAAGCGGGGACGGGUGAGGAACACGUGGAUAACCUCCUAUAAGACAGGGAUAAAUCCGGGAAACCGGAGCUAUACCGGACACUUAAAGAUGGAUCCGCGCUGCAUUGGCUAGUUGGUAAGGUAACGGCUUACCAAGGCAACGAUGCAUAGCCGACCGGUGAGGUUGACCGGCCACACUGGACUUGGGCCACGGUCCGAAUUCCUACGGGAGGCAGCGUUAGGUAAUCUUCCGCAUGGAGCGAAAGCCUGACGGGGCAACCCCGCGUAGUUGAUUAGGGUCUCCGGUUCGUAAGACUCUGUUAUUAGGGAGGCGGUACCUAAUCAGAAAGCCACGGCUAACUACGUGCCAGCAGCCGCGGUAAUUC
rnacentral:rRNA from 1 species